rnacentral:rRNA from 1 species
ACGUAGGGGGCGAGCGUUGUCCGGAAUCACUGGGCGUAAAGCGCACGUAGGCGGGCUGUCAAGUCGGCCGUGAAAGGCACGGGCUCAACCUGUGCAUGUCGGUCGAUACUGGCGGCCUUGAGUAUGGGAGAGGGAGCUGGAAUUCCCGGUGUAGCGGUGAAAUGCGUAGAUAUCGGGCGGAACACCAGUGGCGAAGGCAGGUUACUGGGCCGUGACUGACGCUGAGGCGCGAAAGCGGGGGGAGCGAACGG